UUUAGUUUUAUACAAUAUUUAUUACAACUUCCUCGCCAACUGUACAUGUUCGCAUCAUAUCAACAAGUUUUACAAGGACAGGUAACUAUGAAAUCCAUCUGAUUAAAAUAGCAUGUUCUCUUAUCAAAUGACCGCGGACUUCCUCAUUCACGGUUUGUUUCUCCCAUACGGUGCUGUACAUAUCGUAUACAAGCAUCAAUAUAAACACAUGGAAAAUGGAAAAGGUUAUUUGGUAAUUCAGUUCAUGUAAAAAAACAAGUGUUCUUCCUAUGAAUAAAAAUACAGUGACCAAAAAACCUGCUGAUAAAUUCUGACUGAAAAGCCUAUUAUCAUUAUUAAACUAAUAUCUUCUCCUAGGAGGUUUAUUAUAGCCUGGUUAAACCAUACUGGAACGCUGAUCGCCAUUGUUUCAAACAUUCAGUCUGGUUUAACCAGGCAAUAAAUGUUUAUUGUCCCAUAGUUUCGGUUUCCAUGUCAAGACAGCACAAACUUGAUGUGGGACCAGGCUAGGAGACUGAUGUGGGACCAGGCUAGGAGACUAACUGAUGUGGGACCAGGCUAGGAGACUAACUGAUGUGGGACCAGGCUAGGAGACUAACUGAUGUGGGACCAGGCUAGGAGACUAACUGAUGUGGGACCAGGCUAGGAGACUAACUGAUGUGGGACCAGGCUAGGAGACUAACUGAUGUGGGACCAGGCUAGGAGACUGAUGUGGGACCAGGCUAGGAGACUAACUGAUGUGGGACCAGGCUAGGAGACUAACUGAUGUGGGACCAGGCUAGGAGACUGAUGUGGGACCAGGCUAGGAGACUAACUGAUGUGGGACCAGGCUAGGAGACUUUUCCAGAGCUCCUCUGUCAUGAUUAAUGGCAAGUGGUUUUGAAACUAGCUCUUAGUUCCAAACUGCACCCUAUUCCCUAUAUAGGGCUCUGGUCUAAAGUAGUACACUAAGUAGGGUAUAGUGUUCCAUUUGGGAUGCAGUGGGGUAGUUUUACGUUUAUCGGGAGACGUGCAAAAACCAAACAGGACAGACAG
ensembl:lncRNA